GCUUCUCCGUCAGCGGGGUGUUCAAGGAAGUGGAAGGAAGUUCUCAGGGCUGUGUGCGUGCCUUCACCCGGACCUUCAUCGCUACCCCUGCCGGCUACGCCAGUCUGUGCAUCGUGAAUGACGAGCUGUUUGUGAGGGAUGCCGACCCCAGUGAGACCCGGAGUGUGUUCUCCAUCCCACUGCCUACACCCACCUCCAGCUCCAUGCACCCCCUCUCCCAGCAGCAG